rnacentral:lncRNA from 1 species
UCUCCUCAUGGCAUGGCUCCCUCAUCAUGGCACAGCUCUGCACGGUCCCAGCUCCAUCAUGGCACAGCUCUCUCCUCAUGGCAUGGCUCCCUCAUCAUGGCACAGCUCUGCACGGGCCCAGCUCCAUCAUGGCACGGCUCUCUCCUCAUGGCACGGCUCUCUCAUCAUGGCACGGCUCCCUUCUCAUGGCACAGCUCUGCACAGGCCCAGCUCCAUCGUGGCACAGCUCUCUCCUCAUGGCACAGCUCUCCAUGGCACAGCUCUGCAUGGCACAGCUCUCCACGGCUCCCUUCUCAUGGCACAGCUCUCCAUGCACAGCUCUCUGUGGCAGAGCUCUCCUCAGCACAGCUCCCUUCCCGCUCCAUCCCCAUCUCUGUGGUCCCCAUGGCACAGAUCCUUCUGUGUCUCUCAGCUGUGGCCCAGCUCCAUCCCCACGGCACAGCCCUGUCCCCAUUUCCUCCUCACUGCACACUUCCCAUCCCACACCUCCUUCCCCAAUUCCUCCCCAUCCCACACCUCCUUCCUCAGCUCCUCCCCAUGCCACAGCUGUGUCCCCAUUGUGCAGCUCUCACACCCUUCCCGUUUUACACCCCGUUCUCUCUCCCCACCACCCACCAGCCCCGUGCAGAGCUGCUGCCGGAGGCUCCCAACACUCCCAGCAGCUCCAGGUGGCCCCAGUGCCAGCAGGUGCCACCUCACUGCAGGUGUGCCCGGCCCUGCCACCCCCAGUGUCCCUGUGCACCCUCCCGUGUGCCAGCAGGUCCCUGCAGGGAUGAGCCCCCUCCCCGGGAUGUGGGGGGCUUCCACCACCCCCGUGGUGCCGCAGGGACUGGCAGGGACAGCACACACGUGCUGGGGACAGAGCUGGGACACCCCAGGAUGUGCCAGGAGCUGCUUCCCGCCCCGUGGGGGUGACAGGGCCGUGCUCCCCACCAUGGUGGCAGGACAGCUGGCCGUGUGCACGGCAGAUGUCACCCCAGCCACCCUCUGCCGCCCCGGCCCCCGGCACCUGGUGGCCAGCGGCCAUCUGGAGCCCGCCGCAUCCCCGGAGACGAUGCUCAGCCGCGGUCACUGCCCUCCAGGCCGGGACUGUGGGGCUGCAGGCUGCUCCCGGGGCCGGGAGGAGCUGUGGGGACUCUCCCGGAGAGAGGGAAGGAGCAGCUCCCCAUCUGCAUCGGGAGGGGACAGUCCAGAUGUGCCCUCACAGCUGGGAGCAGAACCCGAAAGCCGGCUGCAGCACAGCCCUGCCCACCCACAGACCCCCGGCCUCGGCUGCUGCCAUGGUCCCCGGGGCACUGCGCUGUCCNNNNNNNNNNNNNNNNNNNNNNNNNNNNNNNNNNNNNNNNNNNNNNN